UACGUAGGGUGCGAGCGUGUCCGGAAUUAUUGGGCGUAAAGCGCGUGUAGGCGGCUUUGCAAGUCGGGUGUGAAAGCCCUCGGCUCAACCGAGGAAGUGCGCCCGAAACUGCAGAGCUUGAGUACCGGAGAGGAUGGCGGAAUUCCCCAAGUAGAGGUGAAAUUCGUAGAUAUGGGGAGGAACACCGGUGGCGAAGGCGGCCAUCUGGACGGAUACUGACGCUGAGACGCGAAAGCGUGGGGAGCAAACAGG
rnacentral:rRNA from 1 species